rnacentral:misc_RNA from 1 species
CAGAGUUCUUGCCCUUAUGGGUAGAUCUCCCACCCUUGAUAUUUUAUUCUCUUGUUGCUUUGGCGGGACGCAUCUUGCUACAGGCUCUGGCCUGUAAGUGCCCGCCAGAGACCCAACCAAAACCUGUUUAUGUGUCGUCUGAGUACUAUAUAAUAGUUA